rnacentral:rRNA from 1 species
AUACGUAGGGGGCAAGCGUUGUUCGGAAUUACUGGGUGUAAAGGGUGCGUAGGCGGGACUGCAAGUCAGAUGUGAAAUGCCGGGGCUCAACCCCGGAGCUGCAUUUGAAACUGUGGUUCUUGAGUGGGGUAGAGGUAAGCGGAAUUCCUAGUGUAGCGGUGAAAUGCGUAGAUAUUAGGAGGAACAUCGGUGGCGAAGGCGGCUUACUGGGCCUUUACUGACGCUGGGGCACGAAAGCGUGGGGAGCAAACAGGAUUAGAUGCCCUGGUAGUCCACGCUGUAAACGAUGAUGACUAGGUGUGGGGGGACUGAACCCCUCCGUGCCGCAGUUAACACAAUAAGUCAUCCACCUGGGGAGUACGGCCGCAAGGUUGAAACUCAAAGGAAUUGACGGGG